CCAAAGGCGGAGGCAUCAACUCCGUCGCCUUCUCCUCCUUAGGAGCUGGGACUGGUGUGGUCGAAGAGCCCGAGGGUUGAGCCGAGACCUCCGAAACUUGAACAGGAACCAUGGCCGAUUCUGCGAGGGGCGCGGCAUCACCAGGGGAUUUGUUUCCUCCAGCCGAGGUCGACAUCGCGGGCGAAGAAAGGAUAGCUGGCACCUCAGGCUGAAUCCGACCCCCUUCCUUCUUGGCACUGCAUCUGGACAGUCUCUCUUUGAAAGCAAGAAACCCGGCGACGAAGGUUGGAGUAGC
rnacentral:lncRNA from 1 species